rnacentral:rRNA from 1 species
UACGUAGGGUGCAAGCGUUGUCCGGAAUUAUUGGGCGUAAAGAGCUCGUAGGCGGUUUGUCGCGUCUGCUGUGAAAACUCGGGGCUUAACUCCGGGCCUGCAGUGGGUACGGGCAGACUAGAGUGCGGUAGGGGAGGACUGGAAUACCCGGUGGAGCGGUGAAAUGCGUAGAGAUCGGGUGGAACACCAGUGGCGAAGGCGGCAUCCUGGCCCUGACCUGACGCUGAGGCGCGAGAAGCGUGGGGAGCAAACGGG